rnacentral:rRNA from 1 species
GACGAACGCUGGCGGCGUGCCUAACACAUGCAAGUCGAGCGAGUGGAGUUCUUCGGAACAAAGCUAGCGGCGGACGGGUGAGUAACACGUGGGCAACCUGCCUCAUAGAGGGGAAUAGCCUCCCGAAAGGGAGAUUAAUACCGCAUAAGAUUGUAGCUUCGCAUGAAGUAGCAAUUAAAGGAGCAAUCUGCUAUGAGAUGGGCCCGCGGCGCAUUAGCUAGUUGGUGAGGUAACGGCUCACCAAGGCGACGAUGCGUAGCCGACCUGAGAGGGUGAUCGGCCACAUUGGGACUGAGACACGGCCCAGACUCCUACGGGAGGCAGCAGUGGGGAAUAUUGCACAAUGGGGGAAACCCUGAUGCAGCAACGCCGCGUGAGUGAUGACGGCCUUCGGGUUGUAAAGCUCUGUCUUCAGGGACGAUAAUGACGGUACCUGAGGAGGAAGCCACGGCUAACUACGUGCCAGCAGCCGCGGUAAUAUGUAGGUGGCGAGCGUUGUCCGGAUUUACUGGGCGUAAAGGGAGCGUAGGCGGACUUUUAAGUGAGAUGUGAAAUACCCGGGCUCAACUUGGGUGCUGCAUUUCAAACUGGAAGUCUAGAGUGCAGGAGAGGAGAAUGGAAUUCCUAGUGUAGCGGUGAAAUGCGUAGAGAUUAGGAAGAACACCAGUGGCGAAGGCGAUUCUCUGGACUGUAACUGACGCUGAGGCUCGAAAGCGUGGGGAGCAAACAGGAUUAGAUACCCUGGUAGUCCACGCCGUAAACGAUGAAUACUAGGUGUAGGGGUUGUCAUGACCUCUGUGCCGCCGCUAACGCAUUAAGUAUUCCGCCUGGGGAGUACGGUCGCAAGAUUAAAACUCAAAGGAAUUGACGGGGGCCCGCACAAGCAGCGGAGCAUGUGGUUUAAUUCGAAGCAACGCGAAGAACCUUACCUAGACUUGACAUCUCCUGCAUUACCCUUAAUCGGGGAAGUUCCUUCGGGGACAGGAAGACAGGUGGUGCAUGGUUGUCGUCAGCUCGUGUCGUGAGAUGUUGGGUUAAGUCCCGCAACGAGCGCAACCCUUAUUGUUAGUUGCUACCAUUUAGUUGAGCACUCUAGCGAGACUGCCCGGGUUAACCGGGAGGAAGGUGGGGAUGACGUCAAAUCAUCAUGCCCCUUAUGUCUAGGGCUACACACGUGUUACAAUGGCAAGUACAAAGAGAAGCAAGACCGCGAGGUGGAGCAAAACUCAAAAACUUGUCUCAGUUCGGAUUGUAGGCUGAAACUCGCCUACAUGAAGCUGGAGUUGCUAGUAAUCGCGAAUCAGCAUGUCGCGGUGAAUACGUUCCCGGGCCUUGUACACACCGCCCGUCACACCAUGAGAGUUGGCAAUACCCAACGUACGUGAUCUAACCCGCAAGGGGGGAAGCGUCCUAAGGUAGGGUCAGCGAUUGGGGUGAAGUCGUAACAAGGUAGCCGUAGGAGAACCUGCGGCUGGAUCACCUCCUUUCUAUGGAGAAAUGAAGUAACAAGAUGUUUACUUCGUACUCAAAAGAUACUGGUUUAACUAGUCUGUUCAAUUUUGAGAAAGCAUGUUUCUCAAGAAAUUGUUCUUUGAAAAUUGCACAUGAAUUAAUAUAUAACUUCAAAACAUAUUGAGAAGUAAGCCAAGAAAUAUUCUUUGUGAUAUUAAAUGUAAAACUUUGAAAAUUUUGACUAAAUAGGUCAAGCUACAAAGGGCGCAUGGUGAAUGCCUUGGCAUCAGGAGCCGAUGAAGGACGUGAUAAGCUGCGAUAAGCUUCGGGUAGGCGCACAUAGCCAGUGAUCCGGAGAUUUCCGAAUGUGGGAACACACAUGGGAAACCCCAUGUAUCGUAUAGUGAAUACAUAGCUAUAUGAGGGUAAACCUAGGGAACUGAAACAUCUAAGUACCUAGAGGAAGAGAAAGAAAAAUCGAUUUCCUUAGUAGCGGCGAGCGAAAGGGAAAGAGCCCAAACCAAAGAUUUAUCUUUGGGGUUGCGGACAGAGCAUUAAAGUGGAGGCUAUUGUAAUUGAAGAGUACUGGAAAGUACCACCGUAGAAGGUAAUAGUCCUGUAAGUAAAACGAGAAGACCACAAGUUCUGAUCCAGAGUACCACGAGACACGUGAAACCUUGUGGGAAGCAGGGAGGACCACCUCCCAAGGCUAAAUACUACCUGAUGACCGAUAGUGAAGC